rnacentral:rRNA from 1 species
AACUCAAAUGAAUUGACGGGGGCCCGCACAAGCGGUGGAGCAUGUGGUUUAAUUCGAUGCAACGCGAAGAACCUUACCUGGUCUUGACAUCCACGGAAGUUUUCAGAGAUGAGAAUGUGCCUUCGGGAACCGUGAGACAGGUGCUGCAUGGCUGUCGUCAGCUCGUGUUGUGAAAUGUUGGGUUAAGUCCCGCAACGAGCGCAACCCUUAUCCUUUGUUGCCAGCGGUCCGGCCGGGAACUCAAAGGAGACUGCCAGUGAUAAACUGGAGGAAGGUGGGGAUGACGUCAAGUCAUCAUGGCCCUUACGACCAGGGCUACACACGUGCUACAAUGGCGCAUACAAAGAGAAGCGACCUCGCGAGAGCAAGCGGACCUCAUAAAGUGCGUCGUAGUCCGGAUUGGAGUCUGCAACUCGACUCCAUGAAGUCGGAAUCGCUAGUAAUCGUGGAUCAGAAUGCCACGGUGAAUACGUUCCCGGGCCUUGUACACACC